GGAUUGUGGCUCAGUGGUAGAGUGCUUGCCUAGCGCGGGUGAGGCACUGGGUUUGAUUCUCAGCACCA
rnacentral:tRNA from 1 species